CCCAGCAUAGGCGCGCAUAGGCACGGAGGCGGAGUCCCGCUGCCGGACGGGUGGCCUCUGUCCGGGCGUCUCGACCACCCGGGUGGGAGGGUGGGGAAGCCAGGGCCCACCUAAGGGCCCUAGGGGGCAGGGUUUGUGGCCGCCCCGCGUCUCGCCCCCUCCAGGUGCAGCGCGGCUUUCACCCGCCAGAGGGCGCCCGGAGAACGCUCCCGGGACCUAUGCGCACCCACCCGGGAAGCGGCCCGUCUCACUCCUUCUCUCCUCGUAGAAUUGGCCCGGAAACCUCCCGGCGGUGUCGCGGAGUCCUAACUAUCCACGGCCACACCCCUCCUUCCUCCUCGCCUGCUCUGAUCCACAAGACGGACCCACGAGGGCUGGAAAGCUCAAGCCGGUAUAGCUCUCACCCUCUGUGACCACCCCAGGGGCCACAGGCCUCUCCUGGGCACCAAGCCCUUCCUCACCCCUCUCUCCAGGACCCUACCAGAAUCGGAACCAGCCAGCCAGGCAGGAGGGAGGCUUGGAAAGGAGCUGCAACAAGAACAGACAUACUUCUUGGACUGUGUAUCAGUGGGGAUAGGCGGCCCCCCAGCUCUUCCCCACCCUGGUUCUCCCUUCUUGGCUCCCCUGGUUGAGGGGCCUCUGUCCAUUUGUCCAGGCUCAUGAUGCUGCUGUGGGGCCUGGAGGCCCCUGGCACCUGGGGAGGAGGGGUGGGCCCACAGCUGGGAACAGGAGAGUCUUUCAUCCAGAGGAGAGCAGGGGGAAGCCACAGGGCACCUCCCUCAGCUCUCCCAGCUGGGCCCGCAGUCCUUGCCCCGAGAAAGCCUCCACACUGGCCCCAGCCCUCUGCCAUGUGGACCUGUAGGAAGUGUCUGGGCCAAGUCCCACCCAAUCUCCACCUGUAGGUCCACUAGAGACACAGCCCCUCAGCCUAGCCCCCCAGCCCGACAGGCUGGCAUCUCAGGCUCAGGGCAUCUCCAAGACAGACACACCUGGGUCUAUGCCUUAGCACUUCACAGCUGGGUGUCUAAUGGAGCUUGU